rnacentral:rRNA from 1 species
GGUUAAGCGACUAAGCGUACACGGUGGAUGCCCUGGCAGUCAGAGGCGAUGAAGGACGUGCUAAUCUGCGAAAAGCGUCGGUAAGGUGAUAUGAACCGUUAUAACCGGCGAUGUCCGAAUGGGGAAACCCAGUGCAAUUCGUUGCACUAUCGUUAACUGAAUACAUAGGUUAACGAGGCGAACCGGGGGAACUGAAACAUCUAAGUACCCCGAGGAAAAGAAAUCAACCGAGAUUCCCCCAGUAGCGGCGAGCGAACGGGGAGCAGCCCAGAGUCUGAAUCAGCUUGUGUGUUAGUGGAACGGUCUGGAAAGUCCGACGGUACAGGGUGAUAGUCCCGUACACCAAAAUGCACAGGUUGUGAACUCGAAGAGUAGGGCGGGACACGUGGUAUCCUGUCUGAAUAUGGGGGGACCAUCCUCCAAGGCUAAAUACUCCUGACUGACCGAUAGUGAACCAGUACCGUGAGGGAAAGGCGAAAAGAACCCCGGCGAGGGGAGUGAAAAAGAACCUGAAACCGUGUACGUACAAGCAGUGGGAGCACCUUCGGGUGUGACUGCGUACCUUUUGUAUAAUGGGUCAGCGACUUAUAUUCUGUAGCAAGGUUAACCGUAUAGGGGAGCCGCAGGGAAACCGAGUCUUAACUGGGCGUUAAGUUGCAGGGUAUAGACCCGAAACCCGGUGAUCUAGCCAUGGGCAGGUUGAAGGUUGGGUAACACUAACUGGAGGACCGAACCGACUAAUGUUGAAAAAUUAGCGGAUGACUUGUGGCUGGGGGUGAAAGGCCAAUCAAACCGGGAGAUAGCUGGUUCUCCCCGAAAGCUAUUUAGGUAGCGCCUCGUGAAUUCAUCUUCGGGGGUAGAGCACUGUUUCGGCUAGGGGGUCAUCCCGACUUACCAACCCGAUGCAAACUACGAAUACCGAAGAAUGUUAUCACGGGAGACACACGGCGGGUGCUAACGUCCGUCGUGAAGAGGGAAACAACCCAGACCGCCAGCUAAGGUCCCAAAGUCAUGGUUAAGUGGGAAACGAUGUGGGAAGGCACAGACAGCCAGGAUGUUGGCUUAGAAGCAGCCAUCAUUUAAAGAAAGCGUAAUAGCUCACUGGUCGAGUCGGCCUGCGCGGAAGAUGUAACGGGGCUAAACCAUGCACCGAAGCUGCGGCAGCGACACUAUGUGUUGUUGGGUAGGGGAGCGUUCUGUAAGCCUGCGAAGGUGACCUGUGAGGGUUGCUGGAGGUAUCAGAAGUGCGAAUGCUGACAUAAGUAACGAUAAAGCGGGUGAAAAGCCCGCUCGCCGGAAGACCAAGGGUUCCUGUCCAACGUUAAUCGGGGCAGGGUGAGUCGACCCCUAAGGCGAGGCCGAAAGGCGUAGUCGAUGGGAAACAGGUUAAUAUUCCUGUACUUGGUGUUACUGCGAAGGGGGGACGGAGAAGGCUAUGUUAGCCGGGCGACGGUUGUCCCGGUUUAAGCAUGUAGGCUGGUUGUCCAGGCAAAUCCGGAUAAUCAAGGCUGAGGUGUGAUGACGAGGCACUACGGUGCUGAAGUAACAAAUGCCCUGCUUCCAGGAAAAGCCUCUAAGCAUCAGGUAACAUUAAAUCGUACCCCAAACCGACACAGGUGGUCAGGUAGAGAAUACCAAGGCGCUUGAGAGAACUCGGGUGAAGGAACUAGGCAAAAUGGUGCCGUAACUUCGGGAGAAGGCACGCUGGUGUGUAGGUGAAGUCCCUGCGGAUGGAGCUGAGACCAGUCGAAGAUACCAGCUGGCUGCAACUGUUUAUUAAAAACACAGCACUGUGCAAACACGAAAGUGGACGUAUACGGUGUGACGCCUGCCCGGUGCCGGAAGGUUAAUUGAUGGGGUUAUCCGUAAGGAGAAGCUCUUGAUCGAAGCCCCGGUAAACGGCGGCCGUAACUAUAACGGUCCUAAGGUAGCGAAAUUCCUUGUCGGGUAAGUUCCGACCUGCACGAAUGGCGUAAUGAUGGCCAGGCUGUCUCCACCCGAGACUCAGUGAAAUUGAACUCGCUGUGAAGAUGCAGUGUACCCGCGGCAAGACGGAAAGACCCCGUGAACCUUUACUAUAGCUUGACACUGAACAUUGAGCCUUGAUGUGUAGGAUAGGUGGGAGGCUUUGAAGCGUGGACGCCAGUCUGCGUGGAGCCAACCUUGAAAUACCACCCUUUAAUGUUUGAUGUUCUAACGUUGGCCCCUUACCGGGGUUGCGGACAGUGUCUGGUGGGUAGUUUGACUGGGGCGGUCUCCUCCCAAAGCGUAACGGAGGAGCACGAAGGUUAGCUAAUCCUGGUCGGACAUCAGGAGGUUAGUGCAAUGGCAUAAGCUAGCUUGACUGCGAGCGUGACGGCGCGAGCAGGUGCGAAAGCAGGUCAUAGUGAUCCGGUGGUUCUGAAUGGAAGGGCCAUCGCUCAACGGAUAAAAGGUACUCCGGGGAUAACAGGCUGAUACCGCCCAAGAGUUCAUAUCGACGGCGGUGUUUGGCACCUCGAUGUCGGCUCAUCACAUCCUGGGGCUGAAGUAGGUCCCAAGGGUAUGGCUGUUCGCCAUUUAAAGUGGUACGCGAGCUGGGUUUAGAACGUCGUGAGACAGUUCGGUCCCUAUCUGCCGUGGGCGCUGGAGAAUUGAGGGGGGCUGCUCCUAGUACGAGAGGACCGGAGUGGACGCAUCACUGGUGUUCGGGUUGUCAUGCCAAUGGCACUGCCCGGUAGCUAAAUGCGGAAGAGAUAAGUGCUGAAAGCAUCUAAGCACGAAACUUGCCCCGAGAUGAGUUCUCCCUGAGACUUUAAGUCUCCUGAAGGAACGUUGAAGACGACGACGUUGAUAGGCCGGGUGUGUAAGCGCAGCGAUGCGUUGAGCUAACCGGUACUAAUGAACCGUGAGGCUUAACCUU